AACGAACGCUGGCGGCAGGCUUAACACAUGCAAGUCGAACGCAUCCUUCGGGGUGAGUGGCAGACGGGUGAGUAACGCGUGGGAACGUGCCCUUCAGUUCGGGAUAACCCAGGGAAACUUGGGCUAAUACCGGAUACGUGCGAGAGCAGAAAGAUUUAUCGCUGAAGGAUUGGCCCGCGUUGGAUUAGCUAGUUGGUGGGGUAAAAGCCCACCAAGGCGACGAUCCAUAGCUGUUCUGAGAGGAAGAUCAGCCACACUGGGACUGAGACACGGCCCAGACUCCUACGGGAGGCAGCAGUGGGGAAUCUUGGACAAUGGGCGCAAGCCUGAUCCAGCCAUGCCGCGUGAGUGACGAAGGCCCUAGGGUUGUAAAACUCUUUCGCAGGUGACGAUAAUGACGGUAACCUGAGAAGAAGCUCCGGCUAACUUCGUGCCAGCCGCCGCAGUAAGAC
rnacentral:rRNA from 1 species